rnacentral:rRNA from 1 species
GAUGAACGCUAGCGGCAGGCUUAACACAUGCAAGUCGAGGGGUAGAGGAAGCUUGCUUCCUUGAGACCGGCGCACGGGUGCGUAACGCGUAUGCAAUCUACCUUAUACAGGGGAUAGCCCAGAGAAAUUUGGAUUAAUACCCCAUAGUAUAAUUGAAUGGCAUCAUUUGAUUAUUAAAGUUCCAACGGUAUAAGAUGAGCAUGCGUCCCAUUAGCUAGUUGGUGUGGUAACGGCACACCAAGGCGACGAUGGGUAGGGGUCCUGAGAGGAGAUCCCCACACUGGUACUGAGACACGGACCAGACUCCUACGGGAGGCAGCAGUGAGGAAUAUUGGUCAAUGGGCGCAAGCCUGAACCAGCCAUGCCGCGUGCAGGAUGACGGUCCUAUGGAUUGUAAACUGCUUUUGUUACAGGAAGAAACACUCCCUCGUGAGGGAGCUUGACGGUACUGUAAGAAUAAGGAUCGGCUAACUCCGUGCCAGCAGCCGCGGU